rnacentral:snRNA from 1 species
AGCUUUGCACAGUGGCAGUAUCAUAGUCAGUGAGGUUUAUUCAAGGCAAAAUUAUUGCUAAUUGGAAAUUUUUCCAAAUUCCUACCC